CGCUUUGGCAAAGGGAAGGAAUCUUGCUUGGGUUGACAUGCAAGGAAAAUAAAAAAAGGGGGGGGGGAUAGUGGAUUGGAAAAGGAAUUGAGAUGAGAGGGUGGAGUGACGCACUAGAAGGGGGCGUGCGUGAAACUCAGACAACGGGGAGGGGGGUUGGAGUUUUUUUACUUUAAUUUAAUUCUUUCGGCCGGGAAUCGAAAGGGCAAGGGAAAAAACAAACUCAAACAAUUUUAGAUUAAUAUAAUUUUUUAACCUAACCCAAAAUUCCUAACGGAAAUUUUAAAAUAAUUUAAAACUUUCAACAACGUACCUCAUGGUUCUCGCAUCGAUGAAGAACGUAGCGAAUGGCGACAGGGAAUGGGAAUUGCUGGUACUCGUGAAUCAUUGAAUUUUAGAACGCACAUUGCGCGCUUGAGCUGUCUCGAGGGCAUGCCAGUAUUGAGCGACAUUUCCUUCUCAAAAGAUAAUUUUUUAUCUUUUGGGAAUGCCGAUACUCAGGGUUAGCCUGUAGAUGAAGAUUGAAUCAUCAUUUUUUAAUUCAACACUUAGCUUGCUUUUGGAGACGCUGUUCUAAGCUGUGAUGUAUUUAUGAAUUUUAUUCGGUUUUACUUUACAAGGGGGAAAUGGUUCAUGUACCCUUAGGCAAAAGGUGUGCUUUUUUACUAAUUCAUCAAGCUUUGAACCUCCAAAUCAGGUUGGAUUCCCCCGCUGAACUCAAAGCAUUAUCAAUAAGCGAAGGGAACUU
rnacentral:rRNA from 1 species